CUCACAUGGCACCUAGAAGGGGUGUACUGGUAUGUGUACUUCAAGGACCAGGACACAAGUGGGGAAGGAAUUGGAAGGGACCCACAUGCCUUACUUCACCGAGACCUGGCAAAUCCUAAGGACUGCUCUGAAGACCAGUCCAGAGUGCUUCAUAGCCUUGCCAAAAGCGCACCUUCCUAGUAGGAGUCAGAAACAAUCCAGCCCAAAAUCAGGAACCUACAAUUGUGACCCACUGAAUCAGUGAAGUACAAACCCACUGACAUCCAGGCAUAAGACAGGGUAGACUUUAGCCCCUGGAUGUUACAGUAUUGAUACACACAGAGGAAUGAUUGUGAGGCCAAGUAAUGAUAAAAUCAAAAACCUCUGGAGCUGGGCAGAACACCUGAUUACAACUGAGUAGCGUAAGUCCCAGCGGUAACAACGCUGAUGUAUUCGGGCAAGGUGAUGCAGGUCACAAUUGCAGUGGAAAUAAGGGAAAGAUAAGAAUGGGAACAGAGAAGAAUGGUGCUAUCUUGCUGUCCAGGCCCAACAGGCAGAUAAACGACACUAACCCAGCCUGUAGGGACACAGCUGCACCAGCUAGCCUCGGAGGAGCUGGUUCCCUCUUCAUCUCAGAAGCAGCUCUGGGCCACUGAAGAGUGGCCUCGCCAGCUAGGAAGCAGCUGGUCUUGGCAGGGAAAAACCCCAAAUCCUUAGGCAGAAGCAAAACAAGAGUGGGGACUGGUUUUGAGAGCUAUUUAUUCAGAGAAGCUACCCCCAUCCCUUUGCCCCAGCCAAGUAAUCUGCAUAUCCUGAGCCUGUUAGGCAAACAGUAAAUGUUACACAAUCUCCCAUAACUUUUUCUGCAAUCUUUUAUAAAUGUUAGCAGGCAUGCUGUCUCGUAUACAUACACUGCUCCCUAUCAUUAUACCAUGUUCCAGCCUUGCAAACUCCUACUUCUGCAUUUGCCUGAGGCUACAGUUCUGUGAAGAAGAAGGAAGCAGGGAUCCAGCCAAAUCAUGGUGCUGGUGAAGGACUGGGAAGCUCUGCAAACUCAACCAGGGCUCUGAAAGUCAAGCUGGAUUCUUUCCUUCUCAUGCAUCACUCUCCAAGAUAAAGUUCCUGCCAGCCAAUAGAUGCCAGAGUUACUCUUGUGCAAACACACUGGGCCUGUUACAGCAGGAGAAAUCCCACUGGGGCCAAUGACACAAGACAAACACAA